rnacentral:rRNA from 1 species
GAUGAACGCUGGCGGCGUGCCUAAUACAUGCAAGUCGAGCGAACAGACGAGGAGCUUGCUCCUCUGACGUUAGCGGCGGACGGGUGAGUAACACGUGGUUACCCUACGUGGAGGAUGGGGACACCUUAGGGAAACCGAUACUAAAACCGGACAAAAAUUGAAACCCCAGGGUCGAAAGGUCAAGGACGGUUUGGCUGGCCCUUAUAGUUGGACCGCGCCGGAUUAGUUAGUUGGUAAGGUAACGGCUUACCAAGGCAACGAUGCGUAGCCGACCUGAGAGGGUGAUCGGCCACACUGGAACUGAGACACGGUCCAGACUCCUACGGGAGGCAGCAGUAGGGAAUCUUCCGCAAUGGGCGAAAGCCUGACGGAGCAACGCCGCGUGAGUGAUGAAGGUCUUCGGAUCGUAAAACUCUGUUAUUAGGGAAGAACAAAUGUGUAAGUAACUAUGCACGUCUUGACGGUACCUAAUCAGAAAGCCACGGCUAACUACGUG